rnacentral:other from 1 species
CUUGCGCUGCUUCGGUCAAUACGGUCGAACCAACACUUCUUUACCGGGAGCUCUACACCGUUCGGUGGAAUGGAAUCCCCUUCGGGGGAAGCACGAAGCCAAUGUGCGGGCACCCACCUGCUGAGGCAGGUUCACCGCACCGAGGCGCGCGAGGCGGGGUUAUU